AUGAACUUUAUGUAUGAACUUGUAUUAAUUUGGUCUUUUCGGUGUUGUGUAAUGAAGAUGAGCCGACAAUGGAUGUACGAUGACCGAUGCUCUCCCGAGUUCAUUAUUGGCGUGCAAACUUUUCUGCUUGCGGCUGAGGCAAACAAGCGGGCGGAUGGUUUUAUGCCUUGUCCAUGUUUAGUCUGUAAGAAUGAUCACAAUUACUCUACGCCAAGAACCAUUCACGUCCACCUGUUUAAGUCCGGUUUCAUGUCCCACUAUAAUAUUUGGACCAAGCACGGAGAAAGAGGGGUUAUGAUGGAAGACAAUGAAGAAGAUGAGGACGACGACAGCUAUCCUGGCCAUGGGUUCCCUGAAUACGAUGAUACAACAAUGGGGGAAGAAGCUGAGCCGGCAAUGCGGGAAGAAGCUGAAGAAGAGGCAUCAUAUGAGCUCGCUGAUGAUCUAGGUCGGGCCAUUGCCGAUGCAAAGAGAAACUGCGCAAGUGAUUUGGAGAAGAAGAAGUUGCAGCGCAUGUUAGAGGAUCACAAGAAAUUGUUGUACCCGAAUUGCGAAGCUGACAAGAAAAAUUUGGGCACCACACUGGAAUUGCUGCAAUGGAAGGCAGAGAAUGAUGUAUCUGACAAGGGAUUUGGAAAGUUGCUGGUAAUGAUAAAGAAUAUGCUUCCAAAGGACAAUGAAUUUCCCGAGAGUACGUACGAAGCAAAGAAGGCUGUCUGCCCUCUAGGGUUAGAGGUGUAG
rnacentral:rRNA from 1 species